rnacentral:rRNA from 1 species
UACAUAGCUUAAUGAGGGGAACUCAGGGAACUGAAACAUCUAAGUACCUGAAGGAAGAGAAAGAAAUUCGAUUCCGUAAGUAGCGGCGAGCGAACGCGGAUUAGCCCAAACCAAUAAAGUUUUCUUUAUUGGGGUUGCGGACAUAUCAUAACGAAGAGGUAUCGUAAUUGAAGAGGUUUGGAAAGACCCACCACAGAAGGUAAUAGUCCUGUAUGUUAAACGAGAAGACUUUAGAUAUGAUCCAGAGUACCACGGUACACGUGAAACCCUGUGGGAAGCAGGAGGGACCACCCUCCAAGGCUAAAUACUACCUAGUGACCGAUAGCGUAUAGUACCGUGAGGGAAAGGGGAAAAGAACCCCGGGAGGGGAGUGAAAUAGAACCUGAAACCCUGCACUUACAAGCUGUGGAAGCACAUGUCUUGUGUGAACGCGUACUUUUUGUAGAACGGGCACACGAGUUACGUUACGUAGCAAGGUUAAGCACUUAAGGUGCGGAGCCGUAGCGAAAGCGAGUUUUAACUGAGCGUUCAGUUACUUGACGUAGACCCGAA